UAGAGGCGGUGGAGACAGGAAUGGAGCCAAGGCUGGGGAGGCGGGAGGGCAAACCUAGCUGCA
rnacentral:sRNA from 1 species